rnacentral:rRNA from 1 species
CCUACGGGUGGCAGCAGUGGGGAAUUUUGCACAAUGGGGGCAAGCCUGAUCCAGCUACUCCGCGUGUGGGAAGAAGCGUUUCGGCGCGUAAAGCCCUAUCGUCGGGGACGAAGAUGACGUUACGUGACCAUAACUCCGCGGCUAACUCCGUGCCAGCAGCCGCGGUAAUACGUAGGGGGAGAGCGUUAGCCGGAUUUACUGGGGGUAACGGGGGCGCAGACGGCAAGGCAAGACAGGAGUGAAGGCCCCGGGCCCAACCCCGGGACCGCUCUUGGAACUGCAUGGCUGGAGUACAGAAGGGGCAGGCGGAAUUCCUAGUGUAGCGGUGAAAUGCGUAGAUAUUAGGAGGAACACCGGUGGCGAAGGCGGCCUGCUGGAACGUGACUGACGCUGAGGCCCGAAGGCGUGGGGAGCAAACAGGAUUAGAUACCCGGGUAGUC